UACGUAGGGUGCGAGCGUUGCCCGGAUUUAUUGGGCGUAAAGGGCGCGUAGGCGGUCACGCACGUCCGUUGUGAAAUCGCUCGGCUCAACUGGGCGGGGUCAGCGGAUACGGUGUGACUGGAGCAAGCUAGGGGGCAAUGGAAUUCCCGGUGUAGUGGUGGAAUGCGUAGAUAUCGGGAGGAACACCAGUGGCGAAGGCGGUUGCCUGGAGCUUUGCUGACGCUGAUGCGCGAAAGCGUGGGGAGCGAUCUGG
rnacentral:rRNA from 1 species